GAGGGACGCGCAGAGCCGCUGUGCUGAUCCUGGGAUUGAUGCAUCUUGCUGCUUAUUCAUAGCUGUUGCCACCACCCUUGGCCCAGCAAUGGCAGCUUCCAGCAGCAGCAGUGAGGCGGAGCGUAGCCUUCGAGAAUGUGAACUCUAUGUCCAAAAACACAACAUCCAGCAACUUCUGAAGGACUGCAUUGUGCAGCUGUGCACCGUGCGGCCUGAACGACCCAUGGGAUUCCUCAGGGAAUACUUUGAAAGGCUGGAGAAGGAGGAAACAAAACCGUUGUUGAAUCAACAGAAGUCUGGGUCGCGCUCGGACUCGCGGGAGGGUGAAAUGUCCCCUCCUCCUCCUAUGAACCUGGUGGUGAAGGGCCGAAGAAGGCACGAGGCCAUCAGUGCUGAAGUCUACAUGGAAGAGGAUGCCGCAUCCUAUGUCAGAAAGGUUAUUCCAAGGGAUUAUAAAACUAUGGCUGCUUUGGCAAAAGCUAUUGAGAAGAACGUGCUGUUUGCCCAUCUCGAUGAUAAUGAGAGGAGUGACAUCUUUGACACAAUGUUCCCUGUCACCUGCAUUGCAGGCGAGACUCUGAUACAGCAAGGUGAUGAAGGUGAUAACUUCUGUGUUGUUAAUCAAGGAUGUUUAUGUGAACAACGAGUGGGCAAUUGGUGUUGGUGAAGGUGGCAGCUUCGGGGAGCUCGCCCUGAUCUAUGGAACUCCCCGAGCUGCCACCGCCAAAGCAAAGACCGAUGUGAAGCUGUGGGGCAUUGACAGAAACAGCUACAGAAGGAUCCUGAUGGGAAGUACUUUAAGAAAGAGAAAAAUGUAUGAGGAAUUCCUUAGUAAAGUAUCUAUACUGGAAUCUUUGGACAAGUGGGAGCAUCUCACUGUAGCUGAUGCAUUGGAACCAGUGCAGUUUGAGGAUUAACAUAAGAUUGUGGUCCAGGAAGGCCCAGGGGAUGAGUUCUUGGAUGAGAUCAUCCUGGAGGGCACAGCUGCAGUGUUACAGCGUUGAUCAGAAAAUGAAGCAUUUGUUGAAGUGGGCAGACUGGCACCUUCUGAUUAUUUUGGUGAAAUAGCUCUGCUGAUGAACCGUCCUCAUGCUGCCACCGUUGUCGCUCAAGGGCUCUUGAAGCGCGUCAAGCUCGACUGACCCCGCUUCGAGCGCGUCCUGGGCCCCUGCUCCGAUAUCCUCAAACGGAACAUCCAGCAGUACAACAGUUUUGUAUCGCUGUCUGUCUGAAAUCCUCCUCAUUCUUGAAAACCUGCUUCACAAACGCAGACUGCUUUAUUACCCUUGUGCAGAGCCACAUUGCCACUGGCAUUUGCAGCUUCCUGUCCAUUUUAAAAAGAAAAAAAAAGAGAAAAGCUUUUCAUGGCACUAUUUUAAUUUCAAACAUAUUAGCUCUGUGCUCUCUGUCCCAUUA